UGUGCCUAAAUAUUGAAGCAGUCUGUAUGCCUUCCAUGAGAUCAUUCAUUUUCUCUGACCUAAUGGUUCCUCAGGCCAUCAAGAUGAGUAAAUUCCAAAUGUGAAAAAAGGAAAAGAAUUUACCAAAUAAAAGGAGCCCUGUUGCUAAGACAAGGAUUUCUAACACAGACUCUUGGGAAUAUAAUGUUGGAGAUACAGGAUGUUAAACAUUCUUCGUACAUAAGCAAAACUGCAUAAAAGAAAUACCUAUCACCAAUUGCUGCUUCCAACUGGAACACCCCUAGGACGCCAAACUUGGACUAGCUGCUUGGGCUAAAAGGGGCAACAUUAUCUCUGCACCCAGGUACUCCCAUCACUCUCUACAAAUUGAAAUUAGACAUGACAUUUGCAAAUAUAGGCUGUUUAUAUGAACCGGACAUAAUUCUACUUGCCCACUUUCUUACUAAGAUAAUUAUUUUAUAAGUAUAUAUGUCAGAUAGGUAGGUUAUUAUUGUAUUAUGCUUAACCGUUAUAUGGUAAAAGGCAGGAAAGUAGAUUUUGUGCCAGUGCUAGUAAAUUUUUGACAGCUUUCUAACACUGAAUAUAUAUUAGGCAUAUGCAAUACGAGAUAGCAUGAUGAAGUAUUUAUGGCCAUAAAUAUGAGAGGAUGGAAAGGCUUUCUCUUUUUUUUCCUUUUAAACAGAGGACUCCAAUUACAAGUACAGUGGCAUGAACAAUUGCUUGUAUGCACCAGAUGUCAUGCUGGAAAGCAAAGUGACUACUGAAAAAUAGAAAAACACAUCUUUAUCCCUCCCACCCCAAACAAAUAUGUACACACUUGUGUGCGUGUGUGUGCGCGCGCACACACACACACACACACACAAUAUUAUCUGGUCCUAAUUCCACUCUGUAAUACUUGAAGUUAAUGAAGAUACACAGGUAUAUUUAAGGGCACAAUUUAGUUUUUUCUUAAAAUCAAUUUAAAAUCUGUUGUAUAGGUGCAGUUUUAUACUGUUCCCUCUUCAUGUAUAGGCAUUUUUUGGGGGGGGAGAGAAUACAUCAAAAUGCACCUUUAAGGAAUAGAGUCCAUUAUUUCCAGAAUUAAUAAGCACCUUACUAACAAAUAAGCAAAAAGAACAUUGUAGCAAAUAAAAUAAAUAUGAAUGCUACCCUCACAUUCCUGCAUUUUGCUUCCCCCCCCCAUGAGUGAGGUUUCUUGUAAUUUGUUUAAUACAGCUGCAAGUUUGAACUAGAAAGUUUGGGUACAAUGCUGGCACGUGAAAUGAUUUCAGUUGAAAUUCUAAAUACUAAGUGACAGCUGCUGUGUUCAAAAAGAGAUCCGGCUUGAAAGGCCUGAUGUCAUAU